rnacentral:lncRNA from 10 species
ACUGUCGCAGAGGGGAAAGGUCGCCAGUCAAGCUGACCAAUCAAAGGCUAACUCUAAAUCCCUCCCUCUGCACGGUAAAAACACGCAAAUUGGGGCGGGCCUAGUGCGGAAAGAUACCGGAAGUGUUUCUGUGGCCAUCUUGAACAGAUCGCAAGCUAAAUCAUCCAUCUUAGGAGAGUCUCACCCUGAUGUCCAGGCUGGAGUGCAAUCACUCAGUCUCGGCUCACUGCAACCUCCACCUCCUGGGUUCAGAUGCUGUUGACUGGGGCAAAGAAUAAUGGGAGAAAAACAGCUGGGUCCUAAAUAACAGAGGGAAACCAACUUUCAAUAAAGUAUUCAACAACUAA